GAGUUUGAUCCUGGCUCAUGAUAAACGCUGGCGGCGUGCUUUAUGCAUGCAAGUCCAACGGUCUUGAUUUAUCAAGAUACUGGCUAACGGGUGACUAACGCGUAAUCAACCUGCCCCUAAGUAGGGGAUAGCUCUGAAAAAUUGUAGCUAAUACCGUAUGUGGUGGUGGGGGUAAUGCUCCAUCACUAAAGCCUUCGGGUGCUUGGGGAGGGGCUUGCGUCCGAUUAGCUAGUUGGUAAGGUAACGGCUUACCAAGGCGAUGAUCGGUAGCUGGUUUGAGAGGAUGAUCAGCCACACUGGGACUGAGACACGGCCCGACUCCUACGGGAGGCAGCAGCAAGGAAUAUUGUGCAAUGGGCGAAAGCCUGACACAGCGACGCCGCGUGGGGGAUGAAGGCUUUCGGGUUGUAAACCCCUUUUCCCAGAGAAGAAUAAUGACCGUACCUGGGGAAUAAAUCUUGGCUAACUACCUGCCGUCAGCCGCGGUAAGACAUAGAAGGAUUACGUUGUCCGGAUUUAUUGGGCGUAAAGAGGGCGUAGGCGGUUCUUCAAGUCGGAUGUAAAAUCUCCCGGCUUAACUGGGACAGACCAUUCGAUACUGUUGGGCUAGAGUGCAGUAGGGGGAGGUGGAAUUCCCGGUGUAGUGGUGAAAUGCGUAGAUAUCGGGAGGAAUGCCAGUGGCGAAGGCGGUCUCCUGCGCUGAUACUGACGCUGACGCCCGGAAGCGUGGGGGAGCGAACAGGACUAUAUAUCCUGAUACUCUACGCACUAAACGAUGGACACCACGUAUGGGGAGUAUCUACCCUCUCCGUGUCCAAGUUAACGCUUUACGUGUCCCGCCUGGGGAUUAAGGUCGCAGGACUAAAACUCACAGGAAUUGACGGGGGUCCCGCCAAAAACUUCGGAGCGUGUGCCUUUAGUCCUAUGCAACGCCGCAUAACCUUUACCACGGCCUGGCCAUGUCGGACGUAGCGAACCCGAAAAGGAAUCGACCUGUUCAGUCUAGGAGCCGCUCGCAGGUGCUGCAUGACUGUCGACAGCCUCGUGGCCGUG
rnacentral:rRNA from 1 species